AAACUGGAGGUGGCGACCGGCGCACGGGUGAGUAACACGUAUCAACCUGCCGAUAACUCGGGGAUAGCCUUUCGAAAGAAAGAUUAAUACCCGAUGGCAUAAUUAGACCGCAUGGUCUUAUUAUUAAAGAAUUUCGGUUAUCGAUGGGGGUGCGUUCCAUUAGGCAGUUGGUGAGGUAACGGCUCACCAAACCUUCGAUGGAUAGGGGUUCUGAGAGGAAGGUCCCCCACAUUGGAACUGAGACACGGUCCAA
rnacentral:rRNA from 1 species